UUGAAGGAAGUGCGAGGUGAUAGGAAG
rnacentral:piRNA from 1 species